rnacentral:SRP_RNA from 1 species
GCCCAAGUGCCGGCGGCGCACCCCGAUGAACCCCGCCAGGCCCGGAAGGGAGCAACGGUAAGUUGGUUCUUGCGCGCGCCGGACCCUUGGGUCUU